rnacentral:rRNA from 1 species
UACGAAGGGGGCUAGCGUUGCUCGGAAUUACUGGGCGUAAAGGGCGCGUAGGCGGACAGUUUAGUCAGAGGUGAAAGCCCAGGGCUCAACCUUGGAAUAGCCUUUGAUACUGGCUGUCUUGAGUUCGGGAGAGGUGAGUGGAAUGCCGAGUGUAGAGGUGAAAUUCGUAGAUAUUCGGCGGAACACCAGUGGCGAAGGCGACUCACUGGCCCGAUACUGGCGCUGAGGCGCGAAAGCGUGGGGAGCAAACAGG